rnacentral:misc_RNA from 1 species
GGAAAGGAACCGGUGGCAAGGUUGAUGCCUUUGUGUCCGGUAUUGGAACUGGUGGUACGAUUACUGGAGUAGGCAGAUACCUUAAAGAGCAAAAUCCUAAUAUCAAGCUAUAUGGUGUGGAACCAUCUGAAAGUGCAGUUUUGUCUGGAGAGAAACCUGGCCCACAUAAGAUACAAGGGAUUGGAGCUGGUUUUAUUCCGGCUGUUUUGGAUGUUGAUCUCAUAGAUGAAGUUGUCAAGGUCUCAAGUGAUGAAGCUAUUGACAUGGCUAAAAGUCUCGCCUUGAAAGAAGGAUUGUUGGUCGGGAUUUCGUCUGGGGCAGCCGCAGCUGCUGCUAUUAAGGUUGCACAAAGGCCAGAAAAUGAAGGCAAACUCAUCGUUGUCGUUUUCCCGAGCUUCGGAGAGCGCUAUCUGUCGUCGGUCCUCUUCCAGUCCAUAAAGAAAGAAGCUGAGAACAUGGUCGUUGAGCCCUGAAAUGGUGUUUCUUCCAUUGCUGCAUUAAGAAUCCCAUUGUUACAGUAAUUUUGUGUCGUAAAUUCAGAAUAAGUAAAUUCCAGCGCAGGUUAAAAUUGAGUUUUGGAUGAAAUAAUUACCUCAACAAAACUCUAUAUGUUUGUACUCGUAUAUGAGCUUGUUGAGAUUUGGAAGUACUAUCUGCAUCUUUACUGUAUUUUCAGCUCACUC